rnacentral:piRNA from 1 species
UAUUCUGAGAUCUACUGAGGUGGAU